AUUGAACGCUGGCGGCAGGCCUAACACAUGCAAGUCGAACGAGUGGCGGACGGGUGAGUAAUGUCUGGGAAACUGCCCGAUGGAGGGGGAUAACUACUGGAAACGGUAGCUAAUACCGCAUACCAUCGGAUGUGCCCAGAUGGGAUUAGCUAGUGGGUGGGGUAAAGGCUCACCUGGGCGACGAUCCCUAGCUGGUCUGAGAGGAUGACCGGCAACACUGGAACGGAGAAACGGCCAGACUUCCUACGGGAGGAAGAAUAGGGGAAUAUUGCACAAUGGGCGCAAGCCGGACGCAGCCAGGCCGCGGGUAUGAAGAAGGCCUUGGGGUUUUAAAGUACUUUCAUCGAGGAGGCGGUACUCGCAGAAGAAGCACCGGCUAACUCCGUGCCAGCAGCCGCGGUAAUAC
rnacentral:rRNA from 1 species